rnacentral:rRNA from 1 species
CGACCUACGGGAGGCAGCAGUGGGGAAUAUUGCACAAUGGGGGGAACCCUGAUGCAGCGACGCCGCGUGAGUGAAGAAGUAUUUCGGUAUGUAAAGCUCUAUCAGCAGGGAAGAAGAUGACGGUACCUGACUAAGAAGCCCCGGCUAACUGCGUGCCAGCAGCCGCGGUAAUACGUAGGGAGCGAGCGUUGUCCGGAUUUACUGGGUGUAAAGGGUGCGUAGGCGGGUAAGCAAGUCAGAAGUGAAAUCCAUGGGCUUAACCCAUGAACUGCUUUUGAAACUGUUUAUCUUGAGUGAAGUAGAGG